rnacentral:rRNA from 1 species
AUACGGAGGAUCCGAGCGUUAUCCGGAUUUAUUGGGUUUAAAGGGAGCGUAGGCGGAGGAUCAAGUCAGCUGUGAAAUGUAGACGCUCAACGUCUGCACUGCAGUUGAAACUGGUCCCCUUGAGUGCGUAAGGGGCAGGCGGAAUUCGUCGUGUAGCGGUGAAAUGCUUAGAUAUGACGAAGAACUCCGAUCGCGAAGGCAGCUUGCCGGGCCGCAACUGACGCUGAAGCUCGAAGGUGCGGGUAUCGAACAGGAUUAGAUACCCUGGUAGUCCGCACAGUAAACGAUGGAUACUCGCUGUCGGCGAUAUACGGUCGGUGGCCAAGCGAAAGCGUUAAGUAUCCCACCUGGGGAGUACGCCGGCAACGGUGAAACUCAAAUGAAUUGACGGGG